AAAGGCAAGUUAUCUGCUUUUGGUUAAUUUGUUGCGAUCUUAUAACUCAACAUUCUUGCACGUAUACAAUAGGAAUGGGGACGGAGGUUUGAAACCUCUAAUCUUUUAACCUUAUCGUAUGCUUUAACCAGUUGAACUAUAAUUAAACGGACCCAAUAUGAACUAUAACCUGUUGUAAUCUUAUAACUCAACACCACUCCCACGUAAUAGGGGACGGAGGUGUGAAACCUCUAAUCUUUUAACCUUAGUUGUAUGAUUUAACCAAAUCCGACUCGAUUCGAACUUAAAAGCGUGCUUUUUA